rnacentral:rRNA from 1 species
AUGGAGAGUCCACGAGGCACAGGAGCGCGCCCUCCACCCUUGUGGGGCCCACGGGACUCCCCUCCGGUAACUCUUUGUUCCAGUAUUUUUUAUAUUUUCCAGAAAAAAUCUCCGUUGAUUUUCAGCGCAUUCCGAGAACUUUUAUUUCUGCACAAAAACAACACCACGGUAGUUCUGCUGAAAACAGCGUCAGUCCGGGUUAGUUCUAACCAAAUCAUACCAAAAUCAUGUAAAAAAUAUUAUAAAUAUGGCAUGAAUACAUCAAAAAUUAUAGAUACGUUGGAGACGUAUCAGAAAUGA